UACGUAGGAGGCAAGCGUUGUCCGGAAUUACUGGGCGUAAAGCGCGUGUAGGCGGGCGGGUACGUCGGCGACUGAAAGCCCCCGGCUCAACCGGGGAAGGGGUGCCGAAACGGCCGGCCUAGAGGGGCGUAGGGGGACCUGGAACUUCCGGUGGAGCGGUGAAAUGCGUUGAGAUCGGAAGGAACGCCCGUGGCGAAAGCGAGGUCCUGGACGCCAACUGACGCUGAGACGCGAAAGCCAGGGGAGCGAACGGG
rnacentral:rRNA from 1 species